GAUAAGAGAUCCGCCACCAGUUACUGCAGGAAGAUUUGCUUGAAGAGGCAUAAGUUCAAAACUGGUUCAUUUUACCUUUGUAUGAUAACUUGUGGAACUUUCGUUAAAGGGCGGAAAUGAUUCUUAGCAGCGGAGAAGUCCGAUCACUGAUGUGUGUAGAAGAAUAAGAUGCAUCAAGCAUUUGUCAAGAGGGGUAGAUAGAUUUGAUCAGCGUACAAUUUACCUAAAUAAGAGGUUUGGUGGCAAAUAAAUGUCCAAACGAAUCCAA